ACUCCUGCGGGAGGCAGCAGUGGGGAAUAUUGGACAAUGGGCGCAAGCCUGAUCCAGCCAUGCCGCGUGAGUGAUGAAGGCCCUAGGGUUGUAAAGCUCUUUCACCGGUGAAGAUAAUGACGGUAACCGGAGAAGAAGCCCCGGCUAACUUCGUGCCAGCAGCCGCGGUAAUACGAAGGGGGCUAGCGUUGUUCGGAUUUACUGGGCGUAAAGCGCACGUAGGCGUACUAUUAAGUCAGGGGUGAAAUCCCGGGGCUCAACCCCGGAACUGCCGUUGAUACUGGUAGUCUUGAGUUCGGAGGAGGUGAGUGGAAUUCCGGGUGUAGAGGUGAAAUUCGUAGAUAUUCGGAGGAACACCAGUGGCGAAGGCGGCUCACUGGCUCGAUACUGACGCUGAGGUGCGAAAGCGUGGGGAGCAAACAGGAUUAGAUACCCGGGUAGUCCCAUGA
rnacentral:rRNA from 1 species